GGGCCGGAAGCUGGGAAGGGCCGGGAGAGACCUGGGCUUGGCAGAGGAAGGCAGGGGUGCGGCGAGGGUGCUCCGAGGGCGGAGAAGGGACGCCGAGAGAGCACCCCCUCUGACAGGUCCUUGGGAAGCCGGCUCUCCCUCAGCCCAGGAUCCAGCAGGGGCAGGUCAGGAACAGAAAGAAGCCCUCCUGGAUGGAAAGAAGCCUUCCUGUCCUUUUUGAAGGGCUUCCACGGCCUGCAAGCGUAUAUCCCUCUGCCUCCUGGAAUCCUCCCUCUGCCGCUUGCUCAUCUAGCAAAUUCCAUCCAUCUUUGAAGCCCAGCUCAGCGGUCACCUUCCCAGAGACUCCCUCAGGCCAGGAACUCCAGCCUGUGCCUUCUUUGCAUCUGAAUCCAGCACCUGAUACAGAAACUUUUUUUGGUUAACAUUUAUUUGUUUAUUGUUUAUUGUGGCUGUGACGAGUCUUAGUUGCAGCACGC